rnacentral:lncRNA from 12 species
AAGGAAGGAGGCUUGCCCCAGUGUCUGUGCUUAUGUCAGUAGCUAAAUUUGGUUUUGCUUUUCUAAGAGCACACGUAGUGGAGUACCUUGUUGCUAUUUUCACUGAGCUCCUGCACUCUCAGAGAGAACCCUUUGCUCUCUGCUUGAUGUUCCAGCUCUACGAUAAAGAUCUGGAGUCUCUGAAAACUGCUGAGUAUCCUCAGCUCUACCAGUUUAACCAGUACUAUAAACUCUGGAUACCCAAGCAGUCUCAGGAACCUGUGUUUAAAAACCACGAGGAGGUAAGCGAAGAACCUGCUGUGCCGCUGGAUUCUGUAUUUACCACUUUGCUAAAGAGAGCCUAUGAGAGAGGAAGCAAGACCCUGCUGGAAGGUGGUGUUCAGACAAAAUUGAGAGACUUGGCUUCCUGGCUCCCACCUGACCAGCUUUUGUUGGGAGUAAAGCACGUGCUGUUAUACCUGAAAUCCACAGUGGAGAACUUCAGCAGUGUAAGAGCAAUAUUGUAAUAAUAUUGUGCUUAUGUUUGGUUUAUUUUCAUGUAGAAGGUACAAAUGACUUAGCUGUUAAAAUUUAGGCUCCAGUUCUGUAGCUCUUUUUUCUGUACUUGUCUCUGAGGCUGCACAGCACCGUACAACACUGCAUGUAAUUUGUAAACAAACGCCAGUUCUUACUAUUGAGAAGCCUCAGAUUUACUUUGCAUGGGUUACCUUGCUGAUUGGUGUGAGUGCAAAUAAACUCAAGAUAUAAUCCACUAAAAUAUUGGGAAAAGAGGGGUUUUCCUCACUUUAAAUCUCUCCUGUGAUUGAAAAAGGGGGAUUUUUCCCUCAAUUCAAACCCUUAAAAAGGAGGGACAUCUGAGGGCUUCCCCAUCAGUUUAAGCCUUAGGAUGAUGAGAAAGGGGGAGUUAUCCUUAAUUCAAACUCAUAAAAAGCAUGAUCAAGGUUUUCCUCUCCCUGGACAAUAAUGGAAAAUGGGGAUUCCCUGCCAAUUAAUACCCCUAACAGCAUGGAAAAGGCAGGGUUUCCUUCAAUUAAGACCAUUAAAGUCGCAGGGGAAGCAGAUUCCCCCACAAUUUGAAC